AGUGAACGCUGGCGGUAGGCCUAACACAUGCAAGUCGAACGGCAGCACAGGAGAGCUUGCUCUCUGGGUGGCGAGUGGCGGACGGGUGAGGAAUACAUCGGAAUCUACUCUGUCGUGGGGGAUAACGUAGGGAAACUUACGCUAAUACCGCAUACGACCUACGGGUGAAAGUGGGGGACCGCAAGGCCUCACGCGAUUGAAUGAGCCGAUGUCGGAUUAGCUAGUUGGCGGGGUAAAGGCCCACCAAGGCGACGAUCCGUAGCUGGUCUGAGAGGAUGAUCAGCCACACUGGAACUGAGACACGGUCCAGACUCCUACGGGAGGCAGCAGUGGGGAAUAUUGGACAAUGGGCGCAAGCCUGAUCCAGCCAUACCGCGUGAGUGAAGAAGGCCCUCGGGUUGUAAAGCUCUUUUGUUGGGAAAGAAAUCCAGCCGGUUAAUACCUGGCUGGGAUGACGGUACCCAAAGAAUAAGCACCGGCUAACUUCGUGCCAGCCGCCGCAGUAAAAC
rnacentral:rRNA from 1 species